GACGAACGCUGGCGGCGUGCCUAAUACAUGCAAGUCGAACGAGAGCGACCGGUGCUUGCCCUGGUCAAUCUAGUGGCGAACGGGUGAGUAACACGUGGGUAACCUGCCCAUCAGAGGGGGAUAACAUCCGGAAACGGAUGCUAAAACCGCAUAGGUCUUCGAACCGCAUGGUUUGAAGAGGAAAAGAGGCGCAAGCUUCUGCUGAUGGAUGGACCCGCGGUGCAUUAGCUAGUUGGUGAGGUAACGGCUCACCAAGGCCGUGAUGCAUAGCCGACCUGAGAGGGUGAUCGGCCACAUUGGGACUGAGACACGGCCCAAACUCCUACGGGAGGCAGCAGUAGGGAAUCUUCCGCAAAGGACGCAAGUCUGACGGAGCAACGCCGCGUGAGUGAAGAAGGUGUUCGGAUCGUAAAACUCUGUUGUUAGAGAAGAACAAGUGCUAGAGUAACUGUUAGCGCCUUGACGGUAGCUAACCAGAAAGCCACGGCUAACUACGUG
rnacentral:rRNA from 1 species